rnacentral:RNase_P_RNA from 1 species
GAAGCUGACCAGACAGUCGCCGCUUCGUCGUCGUCCUCCUUCGGGGGGAGACGGGCGGAGGGGAGGAAAGUCCGGGCUCCAUAGGGCAAGGUGCCAGGUAACGCCUGGGGGGUGUCACAGCCCACGACCAGUGCAACAGAGAGCAAACCGCCGAUGGCCCGCGCAAGCGGGAUCAGGUAAGGGUGAAAGGGUGCGGUAAGAGCGCACCGCGCGGCUGGUAACAGUCCGCGGCACGGUAAACUCCACCCGGAGCAAGGCCAAAUAGGGGUUCAUAAGGUACGGCCCGUACUGAACCCGGGUAGGCUGCUUGAGCCAGUGAGCGAUUGCUGGCCUAGAUAUUCGAAUAGCGGAGAAAGGAUGAAUGACUGUCCACGACGCUAUACCAAAAGAACGCGGCUUAUCGGUCAGUUUCACCU